rfam:Dipodomys ordii contig_40748, whole genome shotgun sequence.
GGUGGCUCAGUGGUAGAGCGCUUGCCUCGCAGGCAUGCAGCCCUGGGUUCCAUUCCUCAGCACCA